GCGCCGGGAGGAAACGGCAGCGCGGCAGCUGCGGGGCGUGGGGGCGGUGGCGGCUGCGACGGCGGCCAAGGCCGAGACCGAGGCGGCGGAGACUGAGGCGAAGGCGGCGGUUGCCUAGCCGGUGACGGUGCUCCCCCGGACCCCCUUCCAGGCCCCAUGGAGGCGGCGGCGGGCGGGGGCUGCGGCUCUGGGCCGCCUCUGCUGCUGAGCGAGGGCGAGCAGCAGUGCUACUCCGAGCUCUUCGCGAGUUGCGCCGCCGCCGGCGCCGCAGUCGGGGGCCCCGGGUCCGGGCCCCCUGAGGCCGCCAGAGCCGUCCCCAGCGCGGCCACCGCAGCCGCGGGCCCUGUGGCCGACCUGUUCCGGGCGUCACAGCUGCCCGCCGAGACGUUGCACCAGAUCACAGAACUGUGUGGUGCAAAGCGGGUUGGUUAUUUUGGUCCAACACAGUUUUACAUUGCCUUAAAAUUGAUUGCUGCAGCACAGUCUGGCCUUCCUGUACGGAUAGAGAGUAUUAAAUGUGAAGUGCCGCUGCCUCGCUUUCUGAUGUCAAAGACCGAUGCUGAGAUCCGAUUUGGGAACCCGACUGAACUGCAUGGAACUAAGGUUCAGAUUCCAUAUUUAAUCACAGAAAAAAAUACCUUCAAAAGAAUGGACGAUGAGGAUAAACAGCAGGAAACACAGUCUCCCACGAUGUCACCCCUCGCCUCCCCUCCUUCUUCCCCGCCUCAUUACCAGAGGGUGCCCUUGAGCCAUGCCUACGGCAAACUGCGGAGCAACACGGAGCAGAUGCAUCCAGCUCCUUAUGAAGCUAGACAGCCCCUUGUCCAGCCUGAAGGACCCUCAUCGGGGGCCCCAGGAACCAAACCCCCUCGCCAUCAGGCUUCCCUUAUUCGGUCCUUUUCCGUGGAGAGAGAACCGCAGGAUAACAACAGUAAUUACCCAGAUGAACCCUGGAGGAUAACAGAAGAACAGCGCGAGUACUAUGUCAAUCAGUUCCGAUCCCUUCAGCCUGACCCGAGCUCCUUCAUUUCAGGUUCUGUGGCCAAGAACUUCUUCACCAAAUCAAAGCUUUCCAUUCCAGAACUCUCCUACAUAUGGGAACUGAGUGAUGCUGACUGUGAUGGAGCCCUGACCCUGCCUGAGUUCUGUGCUGCGUUUCAUCUCAUUGUGGCCCGGAAAAACGGCUACCCGCUGCCAGAGGGCCUGCCUCCGACUCUGCAGACAGAGUACCUGCAAGCAGCUUUUCCUAAGCCCAAGCGGGAGUGUGCAUUAUUUGAUUCUUAUUCUGAGUCAAUGCCUGCAAACCAACAACCCCGUGACUUGAAUCGGAUGGAGAAGCUAUCUGUUAAAGACAUGGCUGACUUUCCUGUCCCAACUCAAGAUGUGACUAGUGAUGACAAACAAGGUUUGAAAAGUACUGCGGAUGAAGCCUUACCAAGGGACGUGUCUGAGGAUCCAGCCACUUCUAAGGAUUCCAACAGCCUCAAAGCAAGACCAAGAUCCAGAUCUUACUCUAGCACCUCCAUAGAAGAGGCCAUGAAAAGGGGCGAGGACCCUCCCACCCCGCCACCGCGGCCACAGAAAACCCACUCCAGAGCCUCCUCCUUGGAUCUGAAUAAAGUCUUCCAGCCCAGUGUGCCAGCUACUAAGUCAGGAUUGUUACCUCCGCCGCCUGCGCUCCCUCCAAGACCUUGUCCAUCACAGAUUUCCCAUCUCAGGGUAAACAGUAAGCGCAGUGCUCAGCGCAGGCCUCCAACUCAGCUGCCUAACUAUGGAGAUUUCAGACUGCAGAAACAGUCUGAGCAAGCGCCUGAGGCUGAAAUACACCCCCAGCUGAACAGAGCCCCCUCCCAAGCUGCAGAGAGCAGUCCAGCAAAGAAGGACAUACCGUAUUCUCAGCCUCCAUCAAAGCCCAUCCGAAGGAAAUUCCGACCUGAAAACCCAGCUACAGAAAACCAAGACACUUCUACCGCUGUUGGUGGGCCAGCAUCGGCAGCGACUGUGAAACCCCACGCGGCAGUCCAAAAACAGUCUUCCAAACAGAAGAAGGCUAUUCAAACUGCUAUCCGCAAAAAUAAAGAGGCAAACGCGGUGCUGGCCCGGUUGAACAGUGAACUCCAGCAGCAGCUCAAGAUCUCCGUAAGGGAGCUGAUAACGAGCAGCAAAAUGGAGCAGUAGGAGUCCUAGCACAUCUUCUCUACCAUAUCCACCCCGAAGUUUUAUUGCUUGAUGAAGUCAUAUGAAGUUACGGAACCCAAGAGAGACCAGGGAGCAUCCUGGAUAUCUCACAGCUAUAACUUUCAGGUCCAGGUUACAGGACAGAAGGCCAAGCAGCUGGGAGUGAGUAGUACUCAGAGUUGGUGGUGCUGGGAUAUCUUAUUGACCAGUACAAGCAUACUAAAUGUCUGCCACGGAGAAACGUGUGGAAUCUGUUUUCCAUCACCCUCUCCACCCGAAGGUGCUGUCUUUCUUUUCAGUCUUUGCAAAUCUGAUCCAUGAUAACAACGAAAAUAAUACCAUCUUGUUUUUGUGUUUUACUAACCGUAAGUGCGGGCACUGUUUUAUGGUCCAACGCCGCUUGUAUUGGGUUGUUAUUGUUGCUUUUACUGAAUUGCCUGUUUAUGUCCUCUGCCCAUUUUGGGGGGCAGGGAUUCUUCUUCUCAUUAGAAAGCUAAUAUUUGGGGUGCCUGGGUGCCUCAGUUGGUUAGGCAUCUGACUCUUGAUUUCAGGUCAGGUAAUGAUCUCAAGGUGGUAGGAUAGAGCCCCUUAUCGGGCUGCUUGGGAUUCUCUCUCUCCCUCUCUCUGCCCCUCCCUCGCUCGCGCUCCCUCUGUCUUUCUCGAAAUAAAUAAACAACAACAAAAAAGAAAGCUAAUAUUUACUGAUGCCUUACAGCGUGUCCCUUUUCUAAUCCCUUAAUAGGCAUUACCUAUUUUAAUAUCCACCAUGGCCAUAUAAACUCAUUAUUCUACCUGUUUUAGAAGUGUGAAAAUGGAGGCGGAGAUUCAGUAGUGUGCCCACCAGGAUCUUGUUUGUAAGUGAUGCGGCCAAGAAUCAAAUCCAGACAGCUAGAUCCUGUGACUUAGCUUCUUAAUCAUUCUGGCCGAUUCUCUUACUACUGCAGUACUUACAAGAGCUUUUUACAUAUGGAUAUUAACUGGGGUUUAUUUUUGUUUGUUUAUUUGAGAGAUAGCAUGCGAGCAGGGGAGAGGCAGAGAGAGAGGGAGACAGAGAAUCGCAAGCAGGUUCCCCACUGUCAGCAUGGAGCCCGAGCCGGGGCUCGAACCCAUGAACCGUGAGAUCAUGACCUGAGCCAAAGUCACGAGUCAGACACUUAACUGACUGAGCCACCCAGGCGCCCCUGGAUAUUAAUUAUUUUCAUACAUGUUGUACAUUUUUCUCUGUCUUUCUACUUUUAACUUUCUUUACGGCAUUGCUUGCUGUCCAGGUGUUCACAAAUCUUAUGGAUGCACUUUCCUGUAUGAAUUUCUUCCAGUCUGAUUGAGGUUGAACUGGCAAAUAAGUGUCAUCUAUUUUAAGUGUACCCCAUGACGACUUGAUACACGUGUACAUUGUGAAAGGAUUCAGCUGAUCGAAUCAAUUAACACAUUCGUCACCCCACAUAUUUCCUUUUUUUUUUUUUUUUGGUGAAAACACUUAAGCUCUACUCUCAGCCAAUUUUAAUUAUACAAUGCAGUGUUAUCAACCGUAGUCAUGAUGUUAUACAUUAGAGCCUUAGAAUUUGUCCGUUUUAUAACUGAUAAUUUUAUACUUAUAACUGGUAAUUUUAUACAGUUAAAAAUACUUGAUAUGGUCA